GAUGAACGCUGGCGGCGUGCCUAAUACAUGCAAGUCGAGCGAAUGGAUUAAGAGCUUGCUCUUAUGAAGUUAGCGGCGGACGGGUGGGUAACACGUGGGUAACCUGCCCAUAAGACUAGGAUAACUCCGGGAAACCGGGGCUAAUACCGGAUAACAUUUUGAACCGCAUGGUUCGAAAUUGAACGGCGGCUUCGGCUGUCACUUAUGGAUGGACCCGCGUCGCAUUAGCUGGUUGGUGAGGUAACGGCUCACCAAGGCAACGAGGCGUAGCCGACCUGAGAGGGUGAUCGGCCACACUGGGACUGAGACACGGCCCAGACACCUACGGGAGGCAGCAGUAGGGAAUCUUCCGCAAUGGACGAAAGUCUGACGGAGCAACGCCGCGUGAGUGAUGAAGGCUUUCGGGUCGUAAAACUCUGUUGUUAGGGAAGAACAAGUGCUAGUUGAAUAAGCUGGCACCUUGACGGUACCUAACCAGAAAGCCACGGCUAACUACGUGCCAGCAGCCGCUGUAA
rnacentral:rRNA from 1 species